ACCCCAGUACAAACCCAGCAUGGCAGGAAAAAACAGCAUUUUCUUUUGUAAGUGGCUGAUGGUUCAUUUACAGCUGUAGCUGUUCAGCGCUGUUAGUGGUUCCUUGUUUUACUGAGGCAGAAGUGUGUGUAAGUGGAGGGGAGUAAUUCUUCUAGUUUAACAGCACCUUAGUGUGGUGCUGCUCACCUGGCAGUCCAGACACCAGAUACAGGGAGAAGAGUUCAUUUUUGGGGUGUAAACUGAUGCAGAGGAGACUUGGAGAGGAAUUUGAAGUAAGAUUAUUUUGCCUGACCACCUGUAGGGCAUAGGUUGUAACUUGGUGUUCAUGACUGGCAGAGCCUCCUCUUACACUUCUGCAGCCUAUCAUAGGUGAUAUGCCAAAAGGCACCUGCAUGGUUGAGCUUUCCUUCCCAGAGCUGGGCCGCUCACUGCCAUUUGUUUUAGCUGGUUGUUGAAAACCUCCAGUCAUGGAGAAUUCACAACCCCUUUUGGGUGGUUAACUGCCUUUCUGGUUGCAGAGCAUUUCCAAAUGUAUAACCUAGAUCUUUCAGCACAGUUCAAGCUUAUAGCUGGCUGUGUUUUCUUUAGUGCGCUUGGAGAACGUCUGAUUCUUUUCAUUUUUAUAGCAACCUUUCACGUAUUUGAAUGCUGCUGUCACUUCUCUCCAUAGGCAUCUUAUAUGUAGGCUAAAUAGACCUAAUUCCUAAAAGCUUCUCUCAUGGGUCACCUUCUCUAGAUCUCUGACCUGUCUUGUUCAUUCCCUCUAGACGUUAUCCAGUUUAUUUGCAGUAAUCUUCUAGUGCAUUAGUCUACUUAUCUAGUGUAUACAAAUCUGAUAAAUAGGUUGACUUUUGAUGCCUUAUUCAAACUGUGGUUUAUGAUAUUUCAGAUGUAGGUCCUAGGACAGCUGAAAUCUGGAUUGAAGGAUUUUAAGGAUUUGCUUUUGUGGCUCAUUUUGGGAGACUGCUGUUCAUAGUGGUGGUGUCCUAGCUUUUUAAAAUCAUCUAAACUCUGAAUUGCUAAGCCAGAGUUUGUCAUCACACUUCUGUUACUUGCCUUUAUUUUGUUUCCACUGUAAUUUCAAAAAUACUCUGGCACCUUCUGUUCUAUUUUCUUGGCCAUUUUAGUCCAAAACCAGAUUAGUUUCUUGGUUUGAUUUACUGCUAAGUUGGACAAAAGUGUCUAUGCAUAUGUGUUAAGACAUUGUGAAAGAAAGAGGGCAGAACAUUAACAAAACUGAGUGCACAAGAGAUGGCUUGACUUUCAUUUAGCACUAGGGCUUACUUAUGGUGAGUUAAAAGUAUGUGCUGGUGAAACUAGAGCUUUAGACUUGAAACACUUUAUUUUAGGGGUUUGUGCAGUGAUUGAUUUCUUCAGCUAUUUUGUGCAACUUGAUCUGGUAAAGAAUCCAUCUUGAUGCCAAUCUUUUGGUCCUUAAAGUAUCCCUUUAUUUUUCCCCUUCCCCCAGUAUGUUAGGAAACUAAAAUUUAUUGUUGUAUGUAACUUCAGAUAUUUCAGCAGUGUUAUUCAUGACAAGCAAAGAAAUCUUGGCCACUUAAAUUUAGUGAACAAAAACUUUAGAGAAACAUUAAAUCAAAGUGAAUGUUGAUAUCAGACUUGAAAAAAGAGCUAUACAGGGCUCCACUGUGAUAAGAGUUCUGCUAAUGCUUCCUUACCUUCUCCAGAACAUUUUAGAAAGCUUUUUUUCAGAAUUAAUAAGCUAACAAAGAAAGGUGUUAAAUACCUUCUCCCCUUCUUUUGAGGCCGGAGUUUAGAUCACUGGGAAGAGAAUUGUAACAGUUGAUAUAGAUUCCAUCUGUAGUGUUUCAACUUCAGGUUUGCUUGUAGCAAUUGCAUGGGGUCACUUCACUGGUUUCUUUGAAUUUGCUUAUAUGGGUAAGACUCUUCAAACUGAUGCGUCAAACUCAUUAUCAUAGUAACCACUGUACUGUGAGUCACUGCUAGAUGGCACUGUGUAACUGUGCUUUCACCAAAAAUAUUUUUGAAACCUAUUUUUGACAACCGUUUAAAUUAACAUUUAGGUUAAAAAUGGCAUUUUAUUGAAUUUUAUUUUCAAUUUAGUCACUUAAUUGAUCCCACUACAAAUGACCUCUUGGCUCAGGGGCUUAUUUUGCGUUGUUUGAAAGGACUUGAAAGUUCAGAGGCAGCCCUAGCAAGUGAGGUAAAAUUUUCCUUCAUUUCCCACACAAUUAUUAAUAAUGCAGAAGCACUGCAUACAUUAGGCUUGUGUAAAUAUCCUAAAAGAUUAUUCAGAAAAAAUGAGAUCCGUUGUCAGUUCAAAUAUGGUCAUAAGGGAAAUGAAGCAGUGAUUAGUGUAAAAGUCUUUGGAGAUCAGAGGGAUUUGUAUGAUUUUUCUUAAUUGAUCGUCAUCCAUGUGUGUUCAUGCUAGUUAUGUGAACUCUUUAUUUCCACUAUCUCAGUGAGGAAAGCUUCUAAUUGUUAUAACUUCCUUUCUUCCUUUCCUCCCCUCCCCCCCCCCCCCCCCCCCCCCGUAAAAUCGGAUUUUUGGCUUCAGAGUGACUGUGCCAUAUUAUUGUAAACUCAGUAGUUGUUCAUUCAUGGAGAAGAUUGUAUCCAAAUAAAGCUUACGGGUGUGGUACCAAGAAGGAGUGGGAUGCAGCUAGGGUUUGCUGUGUCCAAUCAGGAUGGCGUAAGGCUUCUUCAUGAUGAUCAGUGUUAGCGAGUGGUUUUCACUGUGCGGGAAGUACGAUAUAGUAAGCAGUUAGUUUCCUUUACUGUUAUGAUUAAAAGUAUUUUAGAAACUCUGGCAAGGCAGAUUUUCAUGCUUCUCAGGUACAUAUAUCAGGAGAGUUUGCAACUCUUAAAAGUGUGGAUUCUUUCAACAAAAGAAGAAAGUUUGCUUCAGCCGCAUCUUGCGCUACAUAACAUUAAAAUACCCCAAACAAACAACAAACUCCAAAGGGUCUGUGAAGUGCUAAAAUGACAUUUAUGUUACUAGACUGCAUGUGUUCUGUGUGCAUGUACAAAUUUUAUUUUGUGUAGUUAAGGGUAUUUUAUUUGUGUUUUUGGGAAGGGGGAAACAAAUGUAGUUGCUGAAUGCUGUAGUUGUCUCUUACUGUAAUGAUCAUGUGGAUUUAUUUUGUUAGGGUAUAUUCUUCAUUUACUGCCUGAAAUCUUGCUAGUUACUGUCUUUAGCGCACACAUGUUCUAGCAUAUCAGUAAUUAUUUGUAUUGUGUGUAUACAACAUUUCUAGUUUGACUUGCCUUCCUGGCACUAAUUUAAAUUACUUGUGAUUGUGCGCUACCUAGCACACACUGAAGAGAAAAUGGAAGUUUUGGCAUAGAACUUGAUUCUUUAAAAGCAAACAAAUUAAAAAUAUUAUCAGAUAUUGGCGCACGCACUUAUAGGAAGAUUCUGGGGAAAUGCUGAGCAGUUAGUGUUCUUUAGCUGCAAUGCUUUAUUAAAAAUAAUCUUUUUCACUGAGUUUUUGGGGAAACCUCAUUUGUAUUGAGGGAGUAUUCUCACAAAGACUGUGUACUAGAAGGAAACAGAAAAUGGUUUCUAGCUAUAUGUAACUUUCAAAGACAUUGAAAUCAUGGUGAUCUAAAUUAGUUUAUGUGAGGCUGCAUGGUAGAGGUAAGAAGUUUGUGAACAGUGGAAAAGCUGAGAUAACCUGUUUUCUCAGGUAAACCUUUCAUCACUUUAGAAAAAGUACAUAGCUGUAGUGUAUAUAUACCUGUAGCUGCUGAUCCAUGGUCAUGAUACAGUGAUUCUGAAGUUAAGUUUCAGUUUAAAAUGUGAAAGAAUUAGUUUAAUAUACCUCUUCUUAUUUUGCAAGUUUUUGCAGCCUUUGGAUUGAAGCAGUAAGGCAGUUUCUAGGAUGAAUUAGUAACAUGUAGUUGGUUGAAGUUCUUACUGCUUUGGGAGAAGAACGUGUUGAAGGAUCAUUAUUACUAUGUUGUUUUUUCUUUAGACCUGUACUCAAAUUGUGAUUCAAGAAGGUAUUUGCAGUAUAAGGGCUCUGCAUUUCUAAUACUUAACCGUUAAUGGACACUCAGAAGAAAAAUUAAUGCAAAUGGGAACAUUUUGUUAAGCUUCAGUAAAAAAAAAAAGCUGGAAGCUCAUGUGAAUUAGGGUUGGCUUUGUGAAAACAAGACACUUGAGAAAUGCUGCUGAUCAGCAGCUCAUCCCUGUAAAACUAUGUUUUAAGCUUUCAGAGAUUUAUUUCUUCCUUUUCAUUAAUGCAGUCUAGAUUUUUGCAAAAGCAAUUCCACUCCCAUUACCACUUAUUUCAGGUACCAGGAGCUAUGUCAAGAUACACUCCAAUGUAUACAAAGUGUGGAACUAGUUAAUGUCUUCUAGCACCAAGGAGUGUGUGACUUAAACAAACUGUGUGGUAUUUGAUACCAACUUGUACGCAAUUACUCUAGACACAUUUCAGUAUUGAAAACAUAUGUGCUUUCUAUGUUGUAAGACAUAUUCUCAAUAAACUGAUUCCUAAAAUGAAA